CAAGCCGUGGUCUCUGCACCAGUUCCUGUGUUGUUUGAAUUGUUUCCUGUCCUGACUUCCUUCAGUGAUGAACAGCAAUGUUGGAGUGUAAGCCAAAUAAACCCUUUCCUUCUCAACUUCUUUUUGGUCAUGGUGUUUCAUAGCCUAAAUAGAAACUGGAACUCAGGCAAAUUGGCACCAGCACAGUGGGGUAUUGCUGUGACAGAUCUGACCCUAUUUUGGGGAGAUUUGUGGAACGACCGUGGGCUAGAAGAGCCAUUGAGUGUUAAGAGCUCUGUGGGAUGUUCUGUGGAAACUUGGAAGAAUGUUUAGAGCAGUGCAGAAGAUGGAGGCCUGGAUCAUGAAGUUUAAGGACUGUAUUGGGGUCAUUUGUUAUUUUGAAUUAAGAUUCUGUGGUUCUGGUUAGCUGGGGCUGAAGAAUCAGCUGUCAUGAACAAGAUGCCAGAACUGCUCAAGUCAAACCUUUGCUUUUUGCUGAGGUACUUGAUGCUGGCCUGCUGAAGCUAAGAAAUUAACAUGUUGUUAAGAAGAGGUCAACAUCCCUGAUGUGAAAUCUUCUGUAAAGUACUUCCUAAGAGCACAGACAAGCACUGUUCCAGAAGCAGCCAAGGUUGUAUCAUGUGCUGGCAGCAGGACUUGGUAAUGUGUAAGAGUCACCCAGCUGGUGCUGGUUUUGAAGGCACGGAUGGGUCAUGGAGAGCAGCUGAAGCUUGGCAUUGUAAGGGGCAGGAGAGGCCAUUGGUGAUGGUGCAGCCUCAGUGGCAGUUGAAGGCCCAGAACUGAAGAAGUCAUGCAAAGAUGAGGCUUGGAACCAUGAAGAAAGCCUAUGAGAAGCUAUUGGUGAAAGUGUCGCUCAAUUCCAGCAAAAGACCCCAGCAUUCUGGAAAUGCUAGUACCACGGGAUGACCACCGUGAGCAGCAGUGGUGGAGUAGAGACAGCUGGAGCCUAGAAGACAAGCUGUGUGCUGCACAGGGCAGAGGCAGAGAAGGAACCCAAGCCUUUUGUAGGAGUCCAGAAGAUGCCUUAGAAAUACAGGAUUGCAGACCAUCUACAGAGCAUCUGAAGAGGUGCAGCUAGGAAGCAGUGUGUCAAGAAUGAGUCCUGUGGCCCAGGGAGACAUUGGUCCAAGCAGCACUUCUGGAACGGCGUUCUCGGAGAGAAAAUACACUCAUUGUGCAAGAGCUCAGGCCUGGGUCUCAUGGCCUGCCCCUGCAGGAACAAGAGCAAUAGGAAAUAAAUGGUUCGUUAAUUUGUCAAAAAUGGGGAGCUUUGGAAAGGUCAAAAUUACCAGCUGUAUCUACUAUAAUAAAAUAUUAAUCUUGGAUUUAAAACUUA